GGAGAGAUGGCUUAGUGCUUAAGAGCACUGGCGGCUGUACCAGAGGACCUGAGUUCAAUUCCCAGUACCUACA
rnacentral:tRNA from 1 species